AGCAGAAAUGUUGACUUCACUGUAUAUGUCGCUAAGAGUGAGGUCAGGUCUCUGGCCCGCCUGGGCAACCCCGAUCCCCUUGGCCAUGUAGACAGUACCAAGGUCUCAGCAAGGGGCACGGGGUCGCAGGGGCCUUCACCACCACUGGGAGGCGUGCACAUGCCUGCCUGCUCAGGCACACACACGUGCCUGUCUGCAGGGGUUUCUCUCCCAUGAGGCUUGUCUACAUCCAUCACUCAACACAGGAGAAGAAAAACAAGCUGUACCCGUGGCACUGGGGAAGGCCCAGGGCCAGUUCCCAGGGAAAUACCCGGACCAAGCCUGGUGUCCUUUCUGGAACCUGUCAAGCUGCUUCAAGGAGGCUCUUCACCAGUCUUGACUGUUAAGACUAGAGGAAGUCCCCUACAUACAAAUGUGUUCCAUUCUGAAAGCACAUUGUACAGUACCUUGAAGCUUCCCGAGUGGCACAGUGGUG
ensembl:lncRNA